GACAGAGGGUGCAAACGUUGUUCGGAAUUACUGGGCGUAAAGCGCGUGUAGGCGGCUAUGCAAGUCGGAUGUGAAAGCCCUCGGCUCAACCGGGGAAGUGCACCCGAAACUGCAAAGCUAGAGUCUCGGAGAGGAUCGUGGAAUUCUCGGUGUAGAGGUGAAAUUCGUAGAUAUCGAGAGGAACACCUGAGGCGAAGGCGGGUUGCUAGGCUGACACUGACGCUGAGGCGCGAAAGCUAGGGUAGCAAACGGG
rnacentral:rRNA from 1 species